rnacentral:tRNA from 1 species
GCAGGAGUUCCCGAGCGGUCUAAGGGGCUGGGUUUAGGACCCAGUGGCUUAGUGCCUUCGCAGGUUCGAAUCCUGCCUCCUGCA